rfam:Oryzias latipes DNA, chromosome14, strain: Hd-rR.
GCAAAGGCUUUUCUAUAUAAGCCACUUUAAAGCCACCAAAAAUAACAAGCCAAGAAACAU